rnacentral:rRNA from 1 species
UAUAUUGACUGUGCUAAGGUAGCAUAAUAACUUGCCUUUUAAUUGAAGGCUAGAAUGAAGGAUUUGACGAGAGGUAACCUGUCUCUGCCUGUUAGAAAUAAAUUUAUAUAAAGGUAAAAAAGCCUUUAAGCUCCAAUGGGACAAUAAGACCCUAUAAAGCUUUAUUUAUACUAGUUGCUAGCGUUAAGACAAAGGCAAUCUAACUAUAAAUUUUACUGGGGCGGUAAAUAAUCUAACGUUAUUCAAUCUCACGCAUUUGAGCGAAAUUUAUUCAACUUAUAUCUAAAUUUAAGAACAAGUUACUUUAGGGAUAACAGCAUAAUUUCUUUUAGAGUUCUUAUCGACAAGGAAGAUUAUGACCUCGAUGUUGAAUUAAGUCACUUCUAUUAAGCAGCCCUAAUAGCUAAGAA